rnacentral:rRNA from 1 species
ACACGCAUGACACACUGCAUAUCAAUAAGCGGAGGAAAAGAAACUAACAAGGAUUCCCUUAGUAACGGCGAGUGAAGCGGGAAGAGCUCAAAUUCGAAAUCUUCAAGGUUUUACCUUGACGAAUUGUAGUUUAAAGAAGUGUUUUCUGUUGGAGUUUUGGUAAAAGUUCUUUGGAAUAGGACAUCAUAGAGGGUGAGAAUCCCGUAUUUGACCAUUAUUUCCAGCUGUGUGAUACACUUUCAAAGAGUCGGAUUGUUUGGGAAUGCAGUCCAAAAUGGGUGGUAAAUUUCAUCUAAAGCUAAAUAUUGGCGAGAGACCGAUAGCGAACAAGUACCGUGAGGGAAAGAUGAAAAGAACUUUGAAAAGAGAGUUAAACAGUACGUGAAAUUGUCAAAAGGGAAGCGUUUGACACCAGUGUUGUUUUCUCGAAAAUCAAUUAAAAAUGCAUGGAUUUUGUGUUGUAUUGACUUUAUCAGCUUUCUGCACUUUUUUCUUAUCUUUUUUAAUGCACUUUUCGUUUAACAAGUCAACAUCAAUUUCUUUUGUUGUAAAAGAGUCAUUGGAAGGUGGCUUUUUCUUCGGAAAAAGUGUUUAUAGCCUUUGAUCUCUGCAAUCGGAGAGACUUGAGGUCUGCAGCGUAGACUCUUCGGGGUUAGAUACAUUUGUGCUAAGCUAUAGCUUCUUUAUAGACAACUUGUUGACUAUAAUUAAGUCUUGUAGCUUACUCGCUUAUGCUAUUUUACCUACGCUUAGGAUGUUGAACUACUGAGACAUAGA